AAAGACCUUAUGCUUUUGGAGCGGCCGAUGUCUGAUUAGCUAGUUGGUGGGGUAAAGGCUUACCAAGGCGACGAUCAGUAGUUGGUCUGAGAGGACAACCAGCCACACUGGGGCUGAGACACGGCCCAGACUCCUACGGGAGGCAUCAGUGGGGAAUUUUGGACAAUGGGCGAGAGCCUGAUCCAGCAAUGCCGCGUGAGUGAAGAUGGCCUUCGGGUUGUAAAGCUCUUUCAGUUGAGAAGAGAAGGUUGUGACUAAUAAUCACAGCCCAUGACGGUAUCGACAGAAGAAGCACCGGCUAACUACGUGCCAGCAGCCGCGGUAAUACGUAGGGUGCGAGCGCUAAUCGGAAUUACUGGGCGUAAAGGGUGCGCAGGCGGUUCUGUAAGUCAGAUGUGAAAUCCCCGGACUUAACCUGGGAAUU
rnacentral:rRNA from 1 species